CAAAUCUGGGGGGGGUGGGGGUUAGUUGGGGGGAUUGAGGCAUUGGCUUUGGCCGAGGCUUUGAUUUCUCCCAACCCUCCUGCCAACCCAACAUAUGCACAGGGCCGCAAGGCUCUGAUGUUUACGCUUGUUUGUUUGACUGUAUUAUGAGACACAAAAUAUAGA
rnacentral:misc_RNA from 1 species